rnacentral:snoRNA from 1 species
ACCUAUUCUGGAGGAUUAUUUUGUUUCUCUCGGUAUAAUGGUUUGGAUGCGACAUGCUUUUCUUGUGGUUAUUAUAUCCUGACUAGUGGCGUUUUUUUGCGCCAAUCCAAACCUUCAAAGGCCACAUAAAUUC